GCAAACUGGGGUGCUGAUAGCAAGGGUAUAUGUGCCUAUGGUUGGCUAGACCCACUGUGUGAGGCCAAGAGAGGGGGGAGAUAUUCAGAAGAAUCCAUUUCCAUAUUUCAUUUUUCUCAUGUUCUCAAACACACUUUUCCCGAGACAUACUCGCCGCGCCGACAAUCGUUUCUGGCGAUGGCGGAGGUCCAAAUGACCUCAAAUGUAACCCUAACUGUUCGUCUUUACUCCCACUCACCCAAUCUGAAACCGAUUUAUCUUAAUUCCUAACCACUUCACCAAAUUGAGCUAAAAAAGUCCAAGAACCCUAACAAAUCAAACCUGAAUGAAAUGAAUACAAAGCUCUGAAAGGAACGCAAACCUUAUGGGUUUGGUCCCUCUGAUACUAGACUACAUUGCGGUGAGGAAUUUUAGGCAAUGAGAAGAUGAUUUUCGAGGGGCUACCAACCAACAAGGCGGAGAAUGCCUUGGUGUUCGUUGAAUCUUGAAGCUGAUGCAAAUGGAGCAAGAAAAUACCAGAGAAAUAUGCAGGGUUGAUAUGCAUAAAGUGGAAUGGCCAAGGUUCAUCUAUGUCAUGUUCAAAGUAUGGCAUCAAGAAGGAUUUUAUGGAAUACACCAAGAACAUGAAAUUGAAGACUUGGGAGGCUUGGAAUAAAAUGAAGAUAGGAUGAUGAAGGAAAAGUGGGGUUUAGGAUUAGUAGUUGACUUUGGUCAACAGUUUGACCAAAAAGUCAACAGUUGACCAAAAUUCAACUGUUGGUCAAAGAUGUGCGAUCUUGUAUGGACUUUGUAGUAUGGUUUUUGUAAUGUAAUGCUUUGAUGAUUUGUAAAAAAUGGCUUUGUUGAAAUGAAUGAAUAUGUGUAACUUCUA